rnacentral:lncRNA from 1 species
AGAGUUUGGCCGGAGGACCCCAGUGCACUCCGGAUUCUACUCCUGGGGGUGGGUGGUUUUUGAAACCCUGCUGGCUGUAGCAGAUGGCAGGCAGUGAUCUCCCUGGAGAGAAUGGGUGGCUGAGACUGCAGUGUGGUGCAGGUGGGCGGAGGGAAACAGCUGGUAGGUUCUUCUCUGCGUUUCAGAUUACUGCGUGCUGGCAACGGACAUGGGGGGAAGCUGAGACAACACCGCUCCUCCGAGCAGGGAGCUGGCUUGAAUGAAGACGACAGCUCUCAUGAGGAAACCUCUGCAUCCCUCUGCAGUGACCCCUGCUGGCUAGUGCAGGGCUUCGGUCUAGACACUACGGACCCUUCUCACACAGCAGGGACAACUCUCCCAGCACAGGGCCCAGCACUGGGGGCACAGGUCAGUAGCAUGAAACUGACUGAGGCGGAUUCUUGUGGCUUCAACAGACUCUCCCGCAGUGUGUUGGGGGGAAAUCUGCCCCCAGUCCCAGAACCCCCUUGCACCCUGUGCCCCAGACGUGGCCUGUGGCCUGGUGCCCACUGAAAUAAAGCGUGCCG